GACGCUUUCCCCUCCUCUUUAAUGAGCCGCGGGCCCUGUUCGAGUGUGCGGGUGUGCUCUGGCUUGCUGCAAGUGUGGUGCCGCGGUGAGAAAUAAAUCAGCGGAGGAGGAGUGGUGCGGUGGGGGAAUAAUAGAUCCCUUCAGCGUGCGUGGGGCACACAGCGUGUGGGUGCCAGGGUGUCAGCUGCAAUGCCUGAAAAGUGGGGGGGUUUCUGAGGAGCGGGUGCAGCUCAGGUUUUGGGGAGCAGAGGGCUCGGAGGCGCACACCAACGCGGACACAAGUUGUGACACAGAGGAUGGAGAGGCAGGGGCAGAGCUGCAGGGAUUCCAGCCUCAUGGAGCUGUCACUGACGAGCUUCUUGUGUCUGCACUCUGCGUGGUUCUUGCUGGACCGUGGUAUUCUCCUCACUGUUACCAUCUUACUUCAUCUGGCAUUAGUUAAGGCACAAAAAGAAAGUAAUUGUUUGGGUUUUAGUCUCCAAAAAUGGAGCACCUGAGACCUCCCAGGACAGCGGUCUGCUCUGAAAAGCCCACGUUUUGUGAGGUUGAUGCUCCAUUGAACAUUCAAGAUGAAAAAAUAUCUCGCAAACAUAAACUUGCAUCUUCUUUUUCCUGAAAUAAAAGCUACCCACAAAUUUCUGAAA